rnacentral:rRNA from 1 species
UACGAACUGUGCGAACGUUAUUCGGAAUCACUGGGCUUACAGGGUGCGUAGGCGGCUUGUUAAGUAGGGUGUGAAAGCCCCCGGCUCAACCGGGGAAUUGCGUCCUAAACUGCGAGGCUGGAGUGAGGUAGGGGUGUGUGGAACUUCCAGUGGAGCGGUGAAAUGUGUUGAUAUUGGAAGGAACGCCGGUGGCGAAAGCGACACACUGGACCUUGUCUGACGCUGAGGCGCGAAAGCCAGGGGAGCAAACGGG